GGGCGAAGGCGCGAGGCUCCCCUUCCGAUUAGGGUCUCCCUUUCCGGAGGUGCAUUGAGGAGGGACAACACUGCAGAGCAUGGACCCGACUAACCCGA
rnacentral:lncRNA from 1 species